UAGGGAAUCUUCCGCAAUGGACGAAAGUCUGACGGAGCAACGCCGCGUGAGUGAAGAAGGCUUUCGGUUCGUAAAACUCUGUUGUUAGGGAAGAAAAAAUGUAUAGUAACUAUAUACAAAAGAGACGGUACCUAACCAGAAAGCCACGGCUAACUACGUGCCAGCAGCCGCGGUAAUACGUAGGUGGCAAGCGUUGUCCGGAAUUAUUGGGCGUAAAGCGCGCGCAGGUGGUUUAGAAAGUCUGAUGUGAAAGCCCACGGCUCAACCGUGGAGGGUCAUUGGAAACUAAUAAACUUGAGUGCAGGAGAGGAAAGUGGAAUUCCUAGUGUAGCGGUGAAAUGCGUAGAGAUUAGGAGGAACACCGGUGGCGAAAGCGGCUUUUUGGCCUGCAACUGACACUGAGGCGCGAAAGCGUGGGGAGCAAACAGG
rnacentral:rRNA from 1 species